UACAUCUGUGACAACAGAAGUACCUCAUGUCCCUGUUGGCUCCAUCCCCUACACCCUGUCUCUCACUUGUCAGCUGGUCUCCCCCAAUGGAAUUUCAGAUGUGAAGUCCAACUCUGCACUGAUGCCUCUCGAGUACCUAAGUGAUGACAAGACAGAAGCAAAGGUGUCUCUGUCCUCAGGCUUCAAGUUUGAUCGUGAUGUUGAACUUUUGAUUUAUUAUAACCACCCCACCAGCCUACGGCCAUUGUGGAAAAUGGUCAGUCUUCAAAAGAAUCAGGCUCCUUAAUGGGAGACCCUGUUGUGAUGAUCAGCUUGUAUCCAGAUUUCUCUGGAUUUAAAGAACAAUCGCUCUCCACUAAAGGCGAGUUCAUCUUUUUGAUGGAUCGGUCUGGCAGUAUGGAUUGCAAAAUGAAUGAAGAUCCAGACUCCCUCAUGCGCAUUGAGAGUGCUCGUGAUACACUUCUGCUUCUCCUCAAGAGUGUACCAUUUGGCUGUUUCUUUAAUAUUUAUGGUUUUGGUUCCCACUUUGAAUCCUUUUUCC